AAAUCAUGCUGGGGGCAUAGCUUGAGCAUCCCUUUAAGCCUAUCCCAAGCUUCAUAGAAAGAUUCAGUCUCAUUCUAUCAAAAGUUGGCAAUCAAAUUCCUCAUGU